UUAUUAUUUAUUUUUUUAGUUGAUGUGUGAUGCUGAUAAUACAGAGACAGCUAGAGUGACAGAGUUUGAUGAAUAAACUUAAAUUAAAAAACAGAAAUAACCACCAUCUCUCUCAGAGGUCGUCUUUCUCAUUAUUGUGGGGAAACCUCAAAGGGCAUCAGGAAAACCUUCAUCAACCUCGUUGUGCCCAGUGGCUUGUGCAACAGUGUUUCAGAAAUUAUCAUUAAAAUGGGGAUAAUGGAUGACUGGCCACACAUAUGGGGCUAUGGACAAGCUUCAGAGCAGGCUGCCAGCUACAUUAGAUGACAAGCUAUCUAUGCUGGACAUUCUUCACAAUAAAAUGUGAUGUCACAGGAGCUGUCUAUCUCAACAGCUCACACUGUCCGUAUUUGACUAAAGGAAUAAAUGAAGUCACUGCAGAAGUUUGAUUGAGGAAUG